rnacentral:rRNA from 1 species
CAUGGAACGAGUGGCGGACGGGUGAGUAACACGUGGGUAACCUGCCCUUAAGUGGGGGAUAACAUUUGGAAACAGAUGCUAAUACCGCAUAGAUCCAAGAACCGCAUGGUUCUUGGCUGAAAGAUGGCGUAAGCUAUCGCUUUUGGAUGGACCCGCGGCGUAUUAGCUAGUUGGUGAGGUAAUGGCUCACCAAGGCGAUGAUACGUAGCCGAACUGAGAGGUUGAUCGGCCACAUUGGGACUGAGACACGGCCCAAACUCCUACGGGAGGCAGCAGUAGGGAAUCUUCCACAAUGGACGCAAGUCUGAUGGAGCAACGCCGCGUGAGUGAAGAAGGCUUUCGGGUCGUAAAACUCUGUUGUUGGAGAAGAAUGGUCGGCAGAGUAACUGUUGUCGGCGUGACGGUAUCCAACCAGAAAGCCACGGCUAACUACGUGCCAGCAGCCGCGGUAAUACGUAGGUGGCAAGCGUUAUCCGGAUUUAUUGGGCGUAAAGCGAGCGCAGGCGGUUUUUUAAGUCUGAUGUGAAAGCCCUCGGCUUAACCGAGGAAGCGCAUCGGAAACUGGGAAACUUGAGUGCAGAAGAGGACAGUGGAACUCCAUGUGUAGCGGUGAAAUGCGUAGAUAUAUGGAAGAACACCAGUGGCGAAGGCGGCUGUCUGGUCUGUAACUGACGCUGAGGCUCGAAAGCAUGGGUAGCGAACAGGAUUAGAUACCCUGGUAGUCCAUGCCGUAAACGAUGAAUGCUAGGUGUUGGAGGGUUUCCGCCCUUCAGUGCCGCAGCUAACGCAUUAAGCAUUCCGCCUGGGGAGUACGACCGCAAGGUUGAAACUCAAAGGAAUUGACGGGGGCCCGCACAAGCGGUGGAGCAUGUGGUUUAAUUCGAAGCAACGCGAAGAACCUUACCAGGUCUUGACAUCUUUUGAUCACCUGAGAGAUCAGGUUUCCCCUUCGGGGGCAAAAUGACAGGUGGUGCAUGGUUGUCGUCAGCUCGUGUCGUGAGAUGUUGGGUUAAGUCCCGCAACGAGCGCAACCCUUAUGACUAGUUGCCAGCAUUUAGUUGGGCACUCUAGUAAGACUGCCGGUGACAAACCGGAGGAAGGUGGGGAUGACGUCAAAUCAUCAUGCCCCUUAUGACCUGGGCUACACACGUGCUACAAUGGAUGGUACAACGAGUUGCGAGACCGCGAGGUCAAGCUAAUCUCUUAAAGCCAUUCUCAGUUCGGACUGUAGGCUGCAACUCGCCUACACGAAGUCGGAAUCGCUAGUAAUCGCGGA